rnacentral:rRNA from 1 species
CGUACACUCCUGCGGGAGGCAGCAGUGGGGAAUAUUGGACAAUGGGCGCAAGCCUGAUCCAGCCAUGCCGCGUGAGUGAUGAAGGCCCUAGGGUUGUAAAGCUCUUUCACCGGUGAAGAUAAUGACGGUAACCGGAGAAGAAGCCCCGGCUAACUUCGUGCCAGCAGCCGCGGUAAUACGAAGGGGGCUAGCGUUGUUCGGAUUUACUGGGCGUAAAGCGCACGUAGGCGGACUAUUAAGUCAGGGGUGAAAUCCCGGGGCUCAACCCCGGAACUGCCUUUGAUACUGGUAGUCUUGAGUUCGAGAGAGGUGAGUGGAAUUCCGAGUGUAGAGGUGAAAUUCGUAGAUAUUCGGAGGAACACCAGUGGCGAAGGCGGCUCACUGGCUCGAUACUGACGCUGAGGUGCGAAAGCGUGGGGAGCAAACAGGAUUAGAAACCCCAGUAGUCCCAUG